GCUUUCGUGGUGUAGUGGUCAGUACACUCGACAUGUAACCGAGAGGUCCGUGGUUCGAUUCCCGGCAAAGGCG
rfam:Stegodyphus mimosarum contig82668, whole genome shotgun sequence.